GGCGGCAUACCUCAGUUGGUAGAGGAGUUCCCUUAUAAGGUUCCAGUCGCGGGUUCGAGCCCCGCUGCCGCUAC
rnacentral:tRNA from 1 species